UACAGAGGUCUCAAGCGUUGUUCGGAUUCAUUGGGCGUAAAGGGUGUGUAGGUGGCGCGCUAAGUCGGGUGUGAAAUUUCGGAGCUUAACUCCGAAACUGCAUUCGAUACUGGCGUGCUUGAGGACUGGAGAGGAGACUGGAAUUCAUGGUGUAGCAGUGAAAUGCGUAGAGAUCAUGAGGAAGACCAGUGGCGAAGGCGGUGCUCUGGGCCGAAACUGACGCUGAGGAGCGAAAGCGUGGGUAGCAAACAGG
rnacentral:rRNA from 1 species